rnacentral:rRNA from 1 species
UACGAAGGGGGCUAGCGUUGUUCGGAAUUACUGGGCGUAAAGCGCACGUAGGCGGGUCGUUAAGUCAGGGGUGAAAUCCCGGAGCUCAACUCCGGAACUGCCUUUGAUACCGGCGAUCUUGAGAUCGGAAGAGGUGAGUGGAAUUCCCAGUGUAGAGGUGAAAUUCGUAGAUAUUGGGAAGAACACCAGUGGCGAAGGCGGCUCACUGGUCCGAUACUGACGCUGAGGUGCGAAAGCGUGGGGAGCAAACAGG